rnacentral:lncRNA from 1 species
CAGCUGCAGUGGUCCCGAUCACGUCGUGGGGGCAAGUAAUAGGAUUCUAUCCAUCAGUGGCUCACCCACGUCUCCUGCAACCCCUUCCACCCUCGCGAAGGGCGCCCCCAGGUCCCCCUCAUCCUUCCUGACCGAGUUCUUCACCUCUUCGAGGAGCCUUCCCUCCCUACCCCCGGGCCUGUCUUCCCCGAAACUCUGACUCUGGAGUAAGGUUUGGUGGACAGAGCUCUGUUGCCUCCUCAGGCCCAUUGUGACUUAGGAUCUGUUUUCUUGCCCAUCAUCUUCCAGAGCUGGGCUGGGCACACAACACGAG